GACGAACGCUAGCGGCAGGCUUAAUACAUGCAAGUCGAACGGGAUUGAGAAGCUUGCUUUUCAUGAGAGUGGCGCACGGGUGCGUAACACGUAUGCAACCUGCCUUGUCCAGGGGGAUAGCCCGUUGAAAGACGGAUUAAGACCGCAUAACAUCAUUGAAUGGCAUCGUUUAAUGAUCAAAUAUUUAUAGGGACAAGAUGGGCAUGCGUCUGAUUAGCUAGGUGGCGGGGUAAUGGCCCACCAAGGCGACGAUCAGUAGGGGAUCGGAGAGGAUGACCCCCCACACUGGUACUGAGACACGGACCAGACUCCUACGGGAGGCAGCAGUAAGGAAUAUUGGUCAAUGGGCGCAAGCCUGAACCAGCCAUGCCGCGUGCAGGAAGACGGCCCUACGGGUUGUAAACUGCUUUUAUACGGGAAUAACCCCGGUUUCGUGAAACCGGCUGAAUGUACCGUAAGAAUAAGGAUCGGCUAACUCCGUGCCAGCAGCCGCCGUAAUAC
rnacentral:rRNA from 1 species